GAUGAAGAACGCAGCGAAAUGCGAUACGUAAUGUGAAUUGCAAAUCCAGUGAAUCAUCGAGUCUUUGAACGCACAUUGCGCCCCCUGGUAUUCCGGGGGGCAUGCCUGUCCGAGCGUCAUUGCUGCCCUCAAGCACGGCUUGUGUGUUGGGCCCCGUCCUCCGAUCCCGGGGGACGGGCCCGAAAGGCAGCGGCGGCACCGCGUCCGGUCCUCGAGCGUAUGGGGCUUUGUCACCCGCUCUGUAGGCCCGGCCGGCGCUUGCCGAUCAACCCAAAUUUUUAUCCAGGUUGACCUCGGAUCAGGUAGGGAUACCCGCUGAACUUAAGCAUAUCAAUAAGCGGAGGA
rnacentral:misc_RNA from 1 species